rnacentral:rRNA from 1 species
ACGGGUGAGUAACGCGUGGGAAUCUACCCAUCUCUACGGAACAACUCCGGGAAACUGGAGCUAAUACCGUAUACGUCCUUUUGGAGAAAGAUUUAUCGGAGAUGGAUGAGCCCGCGUUGGAUUAGCUAGUUGGUGGGGUAAUGGCCUACCAAGGCGACGAUCCAUAGCUGGUCUGAGAGGAUGAUCAGCCACACUGGGACUGAGACACGGCCCAGACUCCUACGGGAGGCAGCAGUGGGGAAUAUUGGACAAUGGGCGCAAGCCUGAUCCAGCCAUGCCGCGUGAGUGAUGAAGGCCCUAGGGUUGUAAAGCUCUUUCAACGGUGAAGAUAAUGACGGUAACCGUAGAAGAAGCCCCGGCUAACUUCGUGCCAGCAGCCGCGGUAAUACGAAGGGGGCUAGCGUUGUUCGGAAUUACUGGGCGUAAAGCGCGCGUAGGCGGAUACUUAAGUCAGGGGUGAAAUCCCGGGGCUCAACCCCGGAACUGCCUUUGAUACUGGGUAUCUCGAGUCCGGAAGAGGUGAGUGGAAUUCCGAGUGUAGAGGUGAAAUUCGUAGA